ACAAGUUUCUUUCCCCUUCAUGUUUUUCACUUUUAACUCUUUCCUUUUUCUGUCCUGUUUUUUGAAACAUUGUGUUUGCAUCAGGCUUGCCUUGAUUUGAAGCUGUAUAUAUUUUGUUGUUUUCCACUUCUUUGUCUAUAGUACAUCCUCUGUCGCUGAUAUUUGUUGUAGUAUCUUAUCUUGCUUGAUAACAUGUAAUUACCUCUUAAUUAUUUAACAUAUGAUAUUGGUUUUUGAAAUGAACAUAUGAAUCUGCUAUUAUUUUUCAUUAUGUGUUGCUAAUUAUCUGGCAGGAACAUAUGAAGUGUGUUACUUAUUUUUGCAAGUGGGCAUACUUAUGGAAUCACAUUGUAGCUUACUUUAUAUCAAGCUACUUUGCUAUGUUCUGCUCUAUUGACUUCGACCAAGACACAAAUAUUUUCUCAUUUCUCUAUAGUUUCUUUUUUAGGAAUCAUUUCUAUAUAGUUGUUUGCUCAUUAUUUGCAUUACUUUAUGAAGGCAGAGUGACAUAUGAGAAUGAUCAGAACCUUAAGGCGACUAAGCUUAGUUUGUGGCUUCUAGGGACAAAGGAAAAUGAGGAAGAAAAAGCAUUAUCUAUUACAGAACCUCUCUGUUGGUGUUUUCCUGUGUUUUUUUCGCUGCUGUUUUUCCGUUUUUCCCUCAGCUGUGCUGCUGGUCUUUCGGGUAUGCAGCUGGGAUUGGUAGGGUGUGUGUAUUGACAGGGGGCUUAUACUUUUGGUGAUUGUCUUGAGGAGAAUACCACACACUGUCAUUUAGUUAAGCUUAUGCAGUCAGUUACUUGACGAUGAGGUAAUCAUCAAAUUUGCUUUAGAUACCUACAAGACCAUAUUGACCACUUUAAACCUAAUUCUGAAAACUCAAUGAGAAUCAAAAUACACAAAGCCAAUUUUGCCAUAAUCUAAAAAUACUUCUGCAGGUACUCCUUAACUGCUUGCACUCAUAUUCUAAAAACUCUCUCACUCAAAUAAGUCUACGAAAUGGUUAAUCUUUUGCCUUGAAUUUUCUUGAAAAUCAACUUAUGUAAACCAGUGUUUUCAAUUUCAAGACAGUGUAUCACGACCGUUGUAUGUAAAUUGCAAAACAUGUAGAAGAGGCACUAAGGCCAAAAUGCAUAUCAUGACUGUCAUAUUUAUAAGAUAAACAGUGUUCUAUAAUAUAUCUGAUGUUUAUUUUGUACAAUACUAACUUAUUUGAUCAUGAACAUAUGUUUGUAUAGCGAGAGGGUAGGCUGCCUGCAUGCUUUGCAAGAGGGUUUGGUUUGCAAGUUGGUCCUUUUGUGAUAUUGCGUGAUCCAAACCAGAAUGAGAUUGAGGUAGCUGUGGAAAAGAGGAACGGGAAAGUUUAUUUUGAUGAUGGUUGGGCUGUUUUGAAGAAUUUUUACAGGAUUUUGGCUGGUUCUUGGAUCACUGUCAUUUUUGCAAAUCGACGCCUUUUUCUUAAUAUUUUGAGUUGUAAUCUGAGUUUAUUUGAACUUUGUGAUGUCGUUAUUUUUCUGUUCUACUCACGCAUCACAAGGUCCUUUUUGUUGUUGGUGUUUUGUCCUGAUAUCAAUUAAGAAUUUCAAAUUAUCUCGCUCACAACAUGGAUGAGUUUUUGCUAUAUUUUCCCUUUGUAUUUUGAGUACCAAAAUGGAUGAGUAGUGGCUGUUUUGUACUAAAAUAUCAAUUAUACUUAGUAUGUUGAGGUGUUAGAAUCCGGAUGAGUACAAUUCAGUGUUUCUUGAUAUUGCAUAUUGUUCAUGCACUUACUUUUUUUCUUGAGAAGUAAACAUUUAGUUCAGUUCUAGGAAAUCGAAUAAAGCCAUAUCCAGUCUUCUUGCAUAACCAUGCUCAGCCUACGGUUAAACUUUCUAUGAAUGGUACAAAGUGUUUCAAAUUAUUUUUAAUUGGAACGCCUUUCUUCAAAGGUAGGAAAGACACUCACUUCAAAUAUAUGCUCACCAAAGUCUGCAAACAUCACAAACUAUAUUUUGAUUAUUUAUUAUACGAACAUAAUUUUGUA